rnacentral:rRNA from 1 species
ACGCCUAACACAUGCAAGUCGAACGAAGUAGCAAUACUUAGUGGCAGACGGGUGAGUAACAUGUAGGUAUCUGCCCUUUGGCCUGGAAUAACACGAGGAAACUUGUGCUAAUACCGGAUAAGUCUUUACGGAGAAAGCUUUAUGCACCAUUGGAUGAGCCUGCACUUGAUUAGUUUGUUGGUGGGGUAAUGGCCUACCAAGACUGUGAUCAAUAGCUGAUUUGAGAGGAUGAUCAGCCACAUUGGGACUGAGACACGGCCCAAACUCCUACGGGAGGCAGCAGUGGGGAAUCUUGCACAAUGGAGGAAACUCUGAUGCAGCGAUGCCGCGUGAGUGAAGAAGGCCCUUGGGUUGUAAAGCUCUUUCGUCGGGGAAGAAAAUGACUGUACCCGAAUAAGAAGGUCCGGCUAACUUCGUGCCAGCAGCCGCGGUAAUACGAAGGGACCUAGCGUAGUUCGGAAUUACUGGGCUUAAAGAGUUCGUAGGUGGUUGAAAAAGUUGGUGGUGAAAUCCCAGAGCUUAACUCUGGAACUGCCAUCAAAACUUUUCAGCUAGAGUAUGAUAGAGGAAAGCAGAAUUUCUAGUGUAGAGGUGAAAUUCGUAGAUAUUAGAAAGAAUACCAAUUGCGAAGGCAGCUUUCUGGAUCAUUACUGACACUGAGGAACGAAAGCAUGGGUAGCGAAGAGGAUUAGAUACCCUCGUAGUCCAUGCCGUAAACGAUGUGUGUUAGACGUUGGAAAUUUAUUUUCAGUGUCGCAGGGAAACCGAUAAACACACCGCCUGGGGAGUACGACCGC